ensembl:lncRNA
ACCACAGAGUCUUACACAGCAGGUGUCCAAUCCAGCGGGCCAGCUGCCUUGUAAUAGCACUAACCACAACCUAAAUAAAUGUUGGAAACUGAAAGUAUCAUGACAAUACGUUAUGAUAGUGGCAGAGUUGGAGAGAAGUUCUGUUUCAAAACAUGCCUAAGGCUCACUUAGAAGCAACAAUGGCAGUGCAUUUUAAAACAGAACUCCUGGGUUACUUUCUCUGAACUUGAAGCCAGUCGUUGACCCUGCGCUGUCUGCCUGACUUUUGCCCCUCCAUCCUGAAUCACAUGCACCCCUCCGAGCUGCCCGCAGCCCUGUGAGCUGAUUGCAUUGCUUCUCUCCCCCUGGCCCGGUGCUGAGUGGAACGCCAACAACAGGAGAGCGACCAGCCAUGGUGUGACAAGACACAAUAUGGAUUAAUAGAAAAAAGAUGCUAGAGGCAGUUGAAUUCUAGAAAGCACUUUCAGAAGUUUAUUUUCUGCACGAAACUGAUCGUCCAACCAGUGAUGCAGACGCUGUCUCCACACGAGCACUUGGCAGCCGUCCGAGCUCACUCCUCAGGUCAGCGAGCCUUGGCGCCGUGCCUCACAGUCUGGGUGCUGCGCUCCUCUCCUGCACACCCUUUCUUGGUUUCUGCGAAUUAAGCUUAUCUGCCAUUAAAGACAUUAUAAUUGUC